rnacentral:lncRNA from 12 species
AGUUGACUCUGUGAAUAGUUAAUGGAACAAACAAGAUACUUCAGUACAAUAUGGGUUGGAAAGCCAUUUGAGCGAGAUUCUGGGUUUCAAAUGGGAAAAUAAUUCAUACAAUGCAAACCUUUCUCAUAUGCACUAUGUGCGGUAGGUGUUUCUCUGAAAUAAAAACCGAACCAUUUAGCAAAUGAUUAACCGUACCUCAGUCUGCAGGUUACUCUGGUGAAAACAGAAUUCAGGUAAAUCAUCUGGCACAUGGCCUUGAGCACCACAAGAGAUCUCACAGGACAUGGAGGUGGACAUACUCAUUUGAUAAGGAAGGAACACGUUCAGCCAGGUUGCAUCCCCUCUGGGGACACCCAGAUAGGAAACCAGAGGGAGAAGAGUGGAGUCUGGACUACUGACCCAGAGCAAAGCAAACCCUGCAAAUGUGAAAGUCACCAUUUGAGGACUUUGGGUUUGACAGAAGUGUUCAGGGUGUCACACACACACCAAAUGCAGUGCAUCUUCUUUCCUUGGCACUCCCAGCACAACCAUCAGCACUGGGACAUGCACAGGACAGGUGUCCUCUCAUUUCUCAUGCUUCCAGUGAAAAUCCAGGCAGAGAACAGCAUGGGUCCUGUCUCCCUCUGAAUAGCUGGGCUCACAAGCAGGAGUGAACGUGACCUCGAUUGAGCUUGUACUGCAUAGAGGUGAGUGAGAUGGAAAAUCUAGGAAAACU